CGGGGAGAUGCGCGGGGCUGCGCGGACGGACCGAGGAGCACGGCCCGGCGGCCCCGCCGUGGGUGGCGGGAGGCGGCGGGGCGGUUACUUUGAUGACACCACAAGUACAGCUCUGCCUUCGCUAGUGGUAACAUGUACCAGUAUAGCAUCUACCUCUCCUGACGAGGAAAAAAUUACACCAGUGAAGAAAAGCCUUACAACUGGUGCCAAACCGUAGGCUCGUCAGCAAAACUACACCACUUUUACGGUCUCACAACAUCCAACAGGCUGAGUUUCACUACCCCAGGGUUGUCUGAAGAAGGUGGGAUAUUUAACCUGAGCGGCGUUAACACUACCACCGCGCUUUGGCUUUAAAAGUUGACCGGAGCUUUGUGGCUCGGAGAACGGAUCCACUGACCUUUCGCUUGCGUGCUCUUCAGCUCCUGCUCUGCCACAGGCCAAUCCUGGGCCCCUCUUGAGCAGAAACUGCUGAUCGUGCCAAAUUCUCUGGUGUUUUGUAAUGUGGGCUAACAUGCGCCGGGGUUUGGAUGAGACCAACAGGCUCAUUUUCACUUAAGACCUGCAGCAGCACUGGAGCUGGAGAGCACAGAAGUGAAAGGUUUUCUCCGCAGGAAUCCAGGCUGGAAAUUCACUUUUGUUUAGAACAAAGUAAGGUUUUCCUUGCUGCCGCCCGUCUCCUGCAGCCGGGGAAAAAAAAGAAAGAGGCCAAACAUCACAGGACGUGGUAUGGGACUACCGGAGAUGGCCGCUGUGAGGCUAACUCAUCCUCCUCCUUGCAGGUCUGUCGCCGUGAUCCUGCCCAUCCCGGCACAGCCCCGCGGUGCCGCUUUCUCAGCGCGUUCGGCUGGGGACACAGGAUCAGAGCAGAACAAAAUCUGUGGGAGGCAGAGCUGCAGCUGCUGGAGGAGCUUAUUUUAUCUGUCAGCAGCUGUACAUGAACCCUCUCUACUGCAGGAUAAAAUCUGACAGAGAGGCAUAAGUCCUGACAGAGAAAGUUUUAUGUACUUUAAAGUCCCCAUCAACCUGUCAAUGCAUAAAUGGCCACAUGCAAUGUAAGUGAUGAUUAAAAGUGAUCCAAAAGAAAGCAUUUAAAAACCAAAUGAACCUACCCGCUACACCAGAUCUACACCAGAGCUUCUUGAUAAGUUAAACUGUUUUUAAGUCGCAGAGAUCAGCAACUAAAGGUCUGCCUGCCAAAAGGCAUUUUAGACAUUCAGCAGAUUUCCUAUUAAAAUGUAAGAUAAGAAACCAUCAAAAUGUACAUAAAAAAGACCCCAGUCAAGUGUGUAAAAUUUCUUGAGGAAUCAAGGAAAGCGUGUCCCAUUUGUGGGACUGCUUCCAGGGGCUUCUCCCUCUCCUUCAGCUUUUGUGCUUUUGUGUUUAUGGCAAAAAAGCAUUUUACAGUUGGAACAGCUACAUUCAGCCUGCAGCCCAAUAGCAGCUCCUUCGCUGGGAAGGAUAUUUAUUAUUCCUGGCGCCUUUAAUUGCCUGGUUAAUCUGUGUAACCAAUAACCGUAAUCCAUGUAAUCCCACGGCCCUUUCACUUGUCCUUUAUCGACCAGGCAGGUAUUCGUUAUGGUGGUGGUUGUGUUCUUCCCUCCAAGCAGGCUGUCAGCUCUUCACACAAGAGGAUUUCCUACCAUGCUACGCGUUUGCACAGCGCCGGCACAACGGAGCUGCCGGCUUGAAGCUUUCAAGGGCUACCAGAGAAAAAAAACAGAUAUCUCUGCAGCCACCCUAGGUCCAUUUGCCAAUUUAUAUCAAUAAAGCUGGAAGACAGCAAGGGAAUGAGGAGAAAAGUGGUAUUUUGUUUAAAAAAGAAAAAGAAUAGAAAAUCAGCCAUCGUGAAGAACCAGUCUCUAUCUUUCUCAUAGUGCUCUCUGACCUCUGGGUAAUCUCCUCCUGGGGAAGUACUGGAAAUAAACUCUUAACUUUUCAAAGACAAAAAUCAGCUGUCAUUGCCUUCUGUAAGGCAAUGACAAUUAAGUCAGUGUCUUAUAUUUCCCCGGCAUUUUUCCAUCAAUAUAGGGCACUGACUUAAUUGUGUCAUUCAAAUCACAUUGUAAUUGUGAGUCAAAAAUGUAAUUCUUGGUUUACCUGCAUUUCUGUACCACUGAGGCCAACGCAUGCGCCUACUGCUCCAGUGAUACAUCCGUAUGGAUGUAUGCUCUAGACCUACACACAGAAUAAAUGGCUGUGGAUAUUUGUCAGGCUGCUGCUAGGAGUGGCCUCAUAUUUUUUGGAUAAGCUUCAGAUAAAAGUCUAAACAUCUGGAUACUUAUAAAAAUCAUCCAGAGCUCCUGGAUGUCGAGGCUUUUCUGUCAUUCAUUUGGACGCGUAUGUGAAAUUGUCAGUGGGCACAGAAGUGCUGUAAUGCGAGGGGUAAUCAGCCAAUGGACAGAAAUAGGAAUCAGAUGUCUUUCAAAUAAAACUCGCCUCUCCACCAGCAAUCCUCCAGCGAAUCUCCCACACCUGUGGAUGAGGGGUUACGCUGCUGUUACUGCCAUUCAGAACUCUUUUAAUGCUGGACGUAUUUUUAAAAGACAGCUCUCGCAGCUUAUAAAGCAAGGUUUUGGCUUAGGCUAAUGAAAAGCAUUAAUGUACUGUGGGAGGUGGAGAGAGAGAAAGAUUAUAAUUAAAUCUCUGCACUCCUCUCCCGUCUCUAAGGGCUUGGAUAAGAAACAGUUCUGCUGGGCAGCUGAAUUUGAGCUAAAUAAGAUAGCGGGGGGAGGGAGCCUUCUUGGUGGUUUCAUACAGGCUUGCACAUGUGGUAGGGCCAGGGAACAUUUCUGAUGAAAAUAAAAUUGUUCUGGGCUCAAUCCAGCUGAAAAUACCGACAGCCUGCCGGGCCCCGCAACUUUCAUAAGGUUGCAGAUCCUGGCUCCUAGCAGGAAGCUUGGCCCAGCUGCCGUGGAAGGCCCAGCAAGCAAAACAAUAGUUUUAUGCCUGAAAGUUGCGCAUCCAAUGGGGAGAGACAGGAGGAGUUGUGCCAACACGCUCCCUCUCUCACAACGCUGCCAAGGUCGGGCUCCUUCUUGUGCCUUCAGUCCCCCUGACCUACAACCUGCGAGUGCGGCCAAGAAGUCGCUUGGGAGCCUAAAGUUGGAGGCGGUUUCUCCUCUGCUCGUAAAAAAUGGCUGGUGGGUCUUGGUAUCUCACAGGCUGGUGGUCAUAACUGGUAAUGGCCUCCCGCAGGAUGAACGUGAUUCUCCCGUCAUUCUCUCCCCUGUCUCGUUUUUUACUAUCAGCUUCUCUUGAGUUUGAUUUGACCUUGAAGAGCAAAUGUUUUGUUGAAAUGAUUUACAAUUUAUGUUAAUUUAUAUAGUGCCCUUUAUGUACAUCACAGGCAGGUCUUUAUAACAAGUAAGUUUGAAACAAUGUAGAUGCCACAUGCCAAAAAAAUACAACUAUUGAAAACAGAAGAGUAAAAGACCCCAAACAACGUUUUAAAACUUCUGAGGGAAUUUGAUAUAAAAACUUUUUUCGGUGUGGAGGGGGGUGUUGGAUUCCACAGCUUUGGAUUGCCAAGAGAUGUGUUUCAUCUGAGACUGAGCCUACGGUGGACAACGAAAAGUAAGUUCAUAAGCUUGGUUAGCUGUUGGAGACAUGGGCAACAAAAAUACUUUAAACUCAGUGCUAUAGAAGUAAUCCCUGCAGCUGCCUGGAUCAGAGACUCAACUCUACAUCCUCUCAGCUUUUGCAUCUCAUCACCCUAAAAUCACCAGUGGGCCAGAACUUCUCACAUCAUGACAAGCUGGCCUGUUCUAGGAGAAGAAAGGGGCAAAAUGAGCAGAGUCAGUUCACCUUGCUGACACACAAUCAAAUCCAGCUCCAAAAUUGUGCUCUAAGCUUCUUUUAAAGGGGAAAAAGCAAAGUUCCUACCAACACACAGCCCUGAUCCUGACAACUCUGUGCCUUCCUCAGGGUUUCACUGACUUAAAGUGCUCCAGAGGAAUAGAAAAACCCAUAGCCACGCUGACAACACCUAUGGAAAGUUAGUUUUUUCCAGAAAAUUGCAAGGAGUGAUCACAAGCACAGAAAACAUGGAAUAUAAUGAAAAUGAAAAGUAAUGUUGAAGUAAAACCAGGCUGUUAGUUAGUGCCCCUUAUUGUCUCUUUAAUCACUGAUUAAGCCCUUGUACUCACGACCAUUUCAUGUGAUUUGAAACAGCAGUAAUUAGUCCCCAUCCAAAAGAGUACUUAGACUCACACCUUAACUCUAAGUAUCUGCAGAUCUCUGCUGAAGUCCCUGUGAGGACUGGCACCCUGAGAUGCUGCCCACACACUUGCACGCUGGACCGAAGCCCGCAUUUUCCCUCUCCUGAACUGCAACGGUGCUUUUUUCCUGUGACCAUGGAAUUAACUUGGAAAUUCGCCCCCACACAGACGGCCUGCCGCUAUUUUUUUCUGCUUCAGCAAAGCUCACUCCAAUGUUUCAGCUGCGGUUGCAGAGCAGGCCUGAUUCUCUACUGAGAAAUUUGCUCUUGAUUUCAGUGUUUUCCGGAUCGGACCUCAGCAAGCACAAGAAAUCUAAUAAGUAUGUCUGUGUGUUUUCAGAGGUGCUCAGCAUCUUGGACUAUCAGAUCAGUCCCCCUUUAGAAGCAUAGAUUUGAAGAGUAUGGAAAUACCAUUUUUAUAUGUCUAUAUACACACACUCACUCCAUACAUGCAUAUAUAUAUAUAUAUAUAUUAUUAUUACUAUUUCACCAGAAUUAUGCAAACCUGUUACCUGAUCAAAGCGCGAGCCAGUAUUAUUUUAACAAUGGAAACCUUUGCUUUUCUCUGCAGUUGUCUUUGUUGAACAAAGCCAAGACAACAUUUUAUCAGAAAUAUAUGCAGACGUGAUCCAAAUGACAUGGAGCCCUGUUAAGCACAGAGAGGGAUUGUACUCUCAGUUAUACCAACGUAACUUCUGUUCAAGACAAAAGAUCCCUCUGAUCUUACAUCAGGCAGAUGUACUUCUGAGCAAAAGACAUAAAAGACUUGUCAGAACUUGUGCACCUCAGUGGGAUUUAUAUCUCUGUAAGUGGGCCCGUUUGAGUUGAAGAUGUAUGUGUGUACAUUCGUAGCGGGAGCUAUUCUUCUCCCCCUAAGUGCAACACACGGGUUGGACGUGAUUGCAUUACAUCUAAAAAUGUAAUAAAAUGUUUUG